UCUGGUUGAUCCUGCCAGUAGUUAUAUGCUUGUCUCAAAGAUUAAGCCAUGCAUGUCUAAGUAUACACGAAUUAAAAGUGAAACCGCAAAAGGCUCAUUAUAUCAGUUAUGGUUCCUUAGAUCGUUAACAGUUACUUGGAUAACUGUGGUAAUUCUAGAGCUAAUACAUGCAAUUAAAACAUGAACCUUAUGGGACAUGUGCUUUUAUUAGGCUAAAACCAAGCGAUCGCAAGAUCGUUAUAUUGGUUGAACUCUAGAUAACAUGCAGAUCGUAUGGUCUUGUACCGACGACAGAUCUUUCAAAUGUCUGCCCUAUCAACUUUUGAUGGUAGUAUCUAGGACUACCAUGGUUGCAACGGGUAACGGGGAAUCAGGGUUCGAUUCCGGAGAGGGAGCCUGAGAAACGGCUACCACAUCUAAGGAAGGCAGCAGGCGCGUAAAUUACCCACUCCCAGCUCGGGGAGGUAGUGACGAAAAAUAACAAUACAGGACUCAUAUCCGAGGCCCUGUAAUUGGAAUGAGUACACUUUAAAUCCUUUAACAAGGACCAAUUGGAGGGCAAGUCUGGUGCCAGCAGCCGCGGUAAUUCCAGCUCCAAUAGCGUAUAUUAAAGUUGUUGCGGUUAAAACGUUCGUAGUUGAACUUGUGCUUCAUACGGGUAGUACAACUUACAAUUGUGGUUAGUACUAUACCUUUAUGUAUGUAAGCGUAUUACCGGUGGAGUUCUUAUAUGUGAUUAAAUACUUGUAUUUUUUCAUAUGUUCCUCCUAUUUAAAAACCUGCAUUAGUGCUCUUAAACGAGUGUUAUUGUGGGCCGGUACUAUUACUUUGAACAAAUUAGAGUGCUUAAAGCAGGCUUCAAAUGCCUGAAUAUUCUGUGCAUGGGAUAAUGAAAUAAGACCUCUGUUCUGCUUUCAUUGGUUUUCAGAUCAAGAGGUAAUGAUUAAUAGAAGCAGUUUGGGGGCAUUAGUAUUACGACGCGAGAGGUGAAAUUCUUGGACCGUCGUAAGACUAACUUAAGCGAAAGCAUUUGCCAAAGAUGUUUUCAUUAAUCAAGAACGAAAGUUAGAGGUUCGAAGGCGAUCAGAUACCGCCCUAGUUCUAACCAUAAACGAUGCCAGCUAGCAAUUGGGUGUAGCUACUUUUAUGGCUCUCUCAGUCGCUUCCCGGGAAACCAAAGCUUUUGGGCUCCGGGGGAAGUAUGGUUGCAAAGCUGAAACUUAAAGGAAUUGACGGAAGGGCACCACCAGGAGUGGAGCCUGCGGCUUAAUUUGACUCAACACGGGAAAACUUACCAGGUCCGAACAUAAGUGUGUAAGACAGAUUGAUAGCUCUUUCUCGAAUCUAUGGGUGGUGGUGCAUGGCCAUAAAUUUUUAUAAGCAUAUGGUAUAUUAUUGGAUAAAUAUAAUAAUUUUUAUUCAUAAUAUUAAAAAAUAAAUGAAAAACAUUAUCUCACAUUUGAAUGUGAAAAACGAAGAGAAAUAUUUUCUUUUUCAAUCAAAUAAUACUGAGAAAUGUCUAGCAUAAAAAAUUGAAAUAUUUUUCAUCUAGAAUUGUCUCUUAUUAAUGAUUCGGAAAUAGAAAAAUCUUGGUUAUGUUAUUAUAUUCUUCGUUGGUUCGUUAAAAAUGGAUAAAUAAAAACUUUGCAUACAAGAAUUAAUAAAAAUGUUAUAACGAAUUUAAUUAAAUGUUUUAUCAUUAUAUAUAAAGAAUUUAUGGCAAGAUAAAGUUAUAUACAACCUCAACUCAUAUGGGACUACCCCCUGAAUUUAAGCAUAUUAAUUAGGGGAGGAAAAGAAACUAACAAGGAUUUUCUUAGUAGCGGCGAGCGAAAAGAAAACAG
rnacentral:rRNA from 1 species